GAUGAACGCUGGCGGCGUGCCUAAUACAUGCAAGUCGAGCGAACAGACGAGGAGCUUGCUCCUCUGACGUUAGCGGCGGACGGGUGAGUAACACGUGGAUAACCUACCUAUAAGACUGGGAUAACUUCGGGAAACCGGAGCUAAUACCGGAUAAUAUAUUGAACCGCAUGGUUCAAUAGUGAAAGACGGCUUUGCUGUCACUUAUAGAUGGAUCCGCGCCGCAUUAGCUAGUUGGUAAGGUAACGGCUUACCAAGGCAAGGAUGCGUAGCCGACCGGAGAGAGUGAUCGGCCACACUGGAACUGGAACACGGUCCAGACUCCUACGGGAGGCAGCAGUAGGGAAUCUUCCGCAAUGGGCGAAAGCCUGACGGAGCAACGCCGCGUGAGUGAUGAAGGUCUUCGGAUCGUAAAGCUCUGUUAUUAGGGAAGAACAAAUGUGUAAGUAGCUAUGCACGUCUUGACGGUACCUAAUCAGAAAGCCACGGCUAACUACGUG
rnacentral:rRNA from 1 species